GGGUAGCCGGCCUGAGAGGGCGACCGGCCACACUGGGACUGAGACACGGCCCAGACUCCUACGGGAGGCAGCAGUGGGGAAUAUUGCACAAUGGGCGAAAGCCUGAUGCAGCGACGCCGCGUGAGGGAUGACGGCCUUCGGGUUGUAAACCUCUUUCAGCAGGGAAGAAGCGAAAGUGACGGUACCUGCAGAAGAAGCGCCGGCUAACUACGUGCCAGCAGCCGCGGUAAUACGUAGGGCGCGAGCGUUGUCCGGAAUUAUUGGGCGUAAAGAGCUCGUAGGCGGCUUGUCACGUCGGUUGUGAAAGCCCGGGGCUUAACCCCGGGUCUGCAGUCGAUACGGGCAGGCUAGAGUUCGGUAGGGGAGAUCGGAAUUCCUGGUGUAGCGGUGAAAUGCGCAGAUAUCAGGAGGAACACCGGUGGCGAAGGCGGAUCUCUGGGCCGAUACUGACGCUGAGGAGCGAAAGCGUGGGGAGCGAACAGGAUUAAAUACCCUGGUAAUCCCCGCCGUAAACGGUGGGGCACUAGGGGGGGGCGAAAUUUCCCCGUCGUCCCGGGCCCCAGCUUAACCCAUUAAGUGGCCCCCCCUGGGGGAAUACGGGCCGCAAGGGUUAAACCUCAAAGGAAUUGACGGGGGGCCCCCCCAAACGGGGGGAACAUUGGGGGUUUAUUUUCACCCCACCCCAAAAAACCUUUCCCAGGGUUUGAAUUACCCCGGAAAAACUUCCAAAAAGGGGGCCCC
rnacentral:rRNA from 1 species